rnacentral:rRNA from 1 species
UGGGGAAUUUUGGACAAUGGGGGCAACCCUGAUCCAGCAAUGCCGCGUGUGUGAAGAAGGCCUUCGGGUUGUAAAGCACUUUUGUCCGGGAAGAAAUCGCACCUGAUAAUACCGGGUGUGGAUGACGGUACCGGAAGAAUAAGGACCGGCUAACUACGUGCCAGCAGCCGCGGUAAUACGUAGGGUCCAAGCGUUAAUCGGAAUUACUGGGCGUAAAGCGUGCGCAGGCGGUUGUGCAAGACCGAUGUGAAAUCCCCGGGCUUAACCUGGGAAUUGCAUUGGUGACUGCACGGCUAGAGUGUGUCAGAGGGGGGUAGAAUUCCACGUGUAGCAGUGAAAUGCGUAGAGAUGUGGAGGAAUACCGAUGGCGAAGGCAGCCCCCUGGGAUACCACUGACGCUCAUGCACGAAAGCGUGGGGAGCAAACAGG